rnacentral:rRNA from 1 species
UACAUGGGGUGCAAACGUUGCUCGGAAUUAUUGGGCGUAAAGCGCGCGUAGGCGGUUACUCAAGUCGGAUGUGAAAGCCCUCGGCUUAACCGGGAGGGUGGCAUUGAUACUGCGGGGCUAGAGUACAGAUGAGGUAGGCGGAAUUGACGGUGUAGCGGUGAAAUGCUUAGAUAUCGUCAAGAACACCUAUAGCGAAGGCAGCUUACUAGGCUGUAACUGACGCUGAGGCACGAAAGUGUGGGGAUCAAACAGG